UUGACCCUUAAUUUCGAGUUCAGACACAGGCCAAUUCGCUGCAUAAAGACGGCACAGAGGCGCCGAAGCACAUCGUUUUCACUUCCACAGGUUCGAGGGGUCGAAGGCCAUGGGCCUUUCAUUAAUGAUCCCUCCGCAGGUUCACCUACGGAGA
rnacentral:misc_RNA from 1 species